rnacentral:rRNA from 1 species
AACGAACGCUGGCGGCAUGCCUAACACAUGCAAGUCGAACGAGACCUUCGGGUCUAGUGGCGCACGGGUGCGUAACGCGUGGGAACCUGCCCUUAGGUUCGGAAUAACUCCCCGAAAGGGGUGCUAAUACCGGAUAAUGUCUUCGGACCAAAGAUUUAUCGCCUUUGGAUGGGCCCGCGUUGGAUUAGCUAGUUGGUAGGGUAAAAGCCUACCAAGGCGACGAUCCAUAGCUGGUCUGAGAGGAUGAUCAGCCACACUGGGACUGAGACACGGCCCAGUCUCCUACGGGAGGCAGCAGUGGGGAAUAUUGGACAAUGGGCGAAAGCCUGAUCCAGCAAUGCCGCGUGAGUGAUGAAGGCGUUAGGGUUGUAAAGCUCUUUUACCCGGGAUGAUAAUGACAGUACCGGGAGAAUAAGCUCCGGCUAACUCCGUG